rnacentral:rRNA from 1 species
UGGGGAAUAUUGCACAAUGGGCGCAAGCCUGAUGCAGCCAUGCCGCGUGUGUGAAGAAGGCCUUCGGGUUGUAAAGCACUUUCAGCGAGGAGGAAGGGUUCAGUGUUAAUAGCACUGUUCAUUGACGUUACUCGCAGAAGAAGCACCGGCUAACUCCGUGCCAGCAGCCGCGGUAAUACGGAGGGUGCAAGCGUUAAUCGGAAUUACUGGGCGUAAAGCGCACGCAGGCGGUUUGUUAAGUCAGAUGUGAAAUCCCCGCGCUUAACGUGGAACUGCAUUUGAAACUGGCAAGCUAGAGUCUUGUAGAGGGGGGUGAGAA